rnacentral:rRNA from 1 species
AGGCAGCAGUGGGGAAUAUUGGACAAUGGGGGGAACCCUGAUCCAGCCAUGCCGCGUGUGUGAAGAAGGCCUUUUGGUUGUAAAGCACUUUAAGCGAGGAGGAGGCUACCGAGAUUAAUACUCUUGGAUAGUGGACGUUACUCGCAGAAUAAGCACCGGCUAACUCUGUGCCAGCAGCCGCGGUAAUACAGAGGGUGCAAGCGUUAAUCGGAUUUACUGGGCGUAAAGCGCGCGUAGGUGGCCAAUUAAGUCAAAUGUGAAAUCCCCGAGCUUAACUUGGGAAUUGCAUUCGAUACUGGUUGGCUAGAGUAUGGGAGAGGAUGGUAGAAUUCCAGGUGUAGCGGUGAAAUGCGUAGAGAUCUGGAGGAAUACCGAUGGCGAAGGCAGCCAUCUGGCCUAAUACUGACACUGAGGUGCGAAAGCAUGGGGAGCAAACAGGAUUAGAUACCCUGGUAGUCCAUGCCGUAAACGAUGUCUACUAGCCGUUGGGGCCUUUGAGGCUUUAGUGGCGCAGCUAACGCGAUAAGUAGACCGCCUGGGGAGUACGGUCGCAAGACUAAAACUC